rnacentral:rRNA from 1 species
UGCCAGACUCCUACGGGAGGCAGCAGUGGGGAAUAUUGGGCAAUGGGCGCAAGCCUGACCCAGCAACGCCGCGUGAAGGAAGAAGGCUUUCGGGUUGUAAACUUCUUUUCUCAGGGACGAAGAAAGUGACGGUACCUGAGGAAUAAGCCACGGCUAACUACGUGCCAGCAGCCGCGGUAAUACGUAGGUGGCAAGCGUUAUCCGGAUUUACUGGGUGUAAAGGGCGUGUAGGCGGGACUGCAAGUCAGAUGUGAAAACCAUGGGCUCAGCCUGUGGCCUGCAUUUGAAACUGUAGUUCUUGAGUACUGGAGAGGCAGACGGAAUUCCUAGUGUAGCGGUGAAAUGCGUAGAUAUUAGGAGGAACACCAGUGGCGAAGGCGGCCUACUGGACGGUGACUGACGCUGAGGCUCGAAAGCGUGGGGAGCAAGCAGGAUUAGAUACCCCGGUAA